rnacentral:lncRNA from 1 species
UCUUUAUCUGUGGAGUGCAGACUUCAUUAAUUAAUCCUUUUUAUCUGUGACAGCUAAAAGAUUUGCUGAAGCCUUGGAUGCCUUCAGAGAAGCUUAGAAGGCAGGAUCAGCUGCUUUCCCACACCUAAAUCCGUUUCCUCUGCACUAGCUAACUGCUGCAUUGAAGAUUCUACAAAAGGGCAUAAUGUGGAAGAAAGGCAAAGCAAUGCUGGUAUUGUUGUAAUAUGAUGUUUAUGGUAGAAGCAACAUUUUUGACCUUUCUUCCUGUGGGGCA